CAGCCGCCGCGGGAAUACAGAGGAUGCAAGCGUUAUCCGGAAUGAUUGGGCGUAAAGCGUCUGUAGGUGGCUUUUCAAGUCCGCCGUCAAAUCCCAGGGCUCAACCCUGGACAGGCGGUGGAAACUACCAAGCUGGAGUACGGUAGGGGCAGAGGGAAUUUCUGGUGGAGCGGUGAAAUGCGUUGAGAUCGGGAAGAACACCAGCGGCGAAAGCACUCUGCUGGGCCGACACUGACACUGAGAGACGAAAGCUAGGGGAGCAAAUGGGAUUAGAUACCCCUGUAGUCCCUGUCUCUUAUAU
rnacentral:rRNA from 1 species